rnacentral:rRNA from 1 species
AACGAACGCUGGCGGCGUGCCUAACACAUGCAAGUCGAACGGACUCUUCGGAGUUAGUGGCGGACGGGUGAGUAAUACAUAGAAAACAUGCCCCUAAAGUGGGGGAGUAACAUUCCGAAAGGAGUGCUAAUACCGCAUAAUGUAGUCGGUUGGAAUACUGAUUAAGAAAGGAGCAAUUCGCUUAUGGAAUGGUCUAUGGUCGAUUAGAUAGUUGGUGGGGUAAAGGCCUACCAAGUCGAUGAUCGAUAGCUGGUCUGAGAGGACGAUCAGCCACACUGGGACUGAGACACGGCCCAGACUUCUACGGAAGGCAGCAGUGGGGAAUUUUCCGCAAUGGGCGAAAGCCUGACGGAGCGACGCCGCGUGGAGGAAGACGUAUUUCGGUAUGUAAACUCCUUUUGUCAGGGACGAAAAAAAUAGACGGUACCUGAAGAAUAAGCAUCGGCUAACUACGUG